UACGGAGGGUGCAAGCGUUAUCCGGAUUUACUGGGUUUAAAGGGUGCGUAGGCGGCUUUUUAAGUCAGUGGUGAAAUCCUAGUGCUUAACACUAGAACGGCCGUUGAUACUGGAAAGCUUGAGUCAAGGAGAGGUAAGCAGAAUUUAUGGUGUAGCAGUGAAAUGCUUAGAUACCAUAAGGAAUACCAAUAGCGAAGGCAGCUUACUGGCCUUGUACUGACGCUGAGGCACGAAAGCGUGGGGAGCAAACAGG
rnacentral:rRNA from 1 species